rnacentral:ncRNA from 2 species
UUCGGGAUGCCAGAGUUCGCUCGACAGAGCGAUGGAUCGACGGUAAUCCGGUGCCAUUCCGGAGCGGUCGCGCCACUGUGAUCGAGGGUCUGCCCUCGAAAGCCAGACACCCCGGCCAUCGCAUGGACCUAGC